rnacentral:rRNA from 1 species
ACAGCAGCCGCCGCGGUAAUACGUAGGGUGCAAGCGUUAAUCGGAAUUACUGGGCGUAAAGCGUGCGCAGGCGGCUAUGCAAGACAGAUGUGAAAUCCCCGGGCUCAACCUGGGAACCGCAUUUGUGACUGCAUGGCUAGAGUACGGUAGAGGGGGAUGGAAUUCCGCGUGUAGCAGUGAAAUGCGUAGAUAUGCGGAGGAACACCGAUGGCGAAGGCAAUCCCCUGGACCUGUACUGACGCUCAUGCACGAAAGCGUGGGGAGCAAACAGGAUUAGAUACCCCUGUAGUCCCUGUCUCUUAUAC